CCUCCAAAAACCGUUACGGACUGUUUAUUUAUUUUAACCUCCGCGCCUUCUCCUCCACACGCAUGCGUUUCUCUUCCUCUACACUCGGCCAUCCUACAUCAGCACCCGGCGCAGUGACCCUUCUUGGUCACCGGCAGAGGGUGCUCCCUCCACCCGACCAUCUGGGCUGUCUUCCGUCUCGUCGGCAUCGUCAAAGAAUUCCCAUCUUUUCAGUUGGUCGCUCGGUGCUGUUACCACAUAUCUUGGAGGGUCCUCUAAGCUGGAAAUUUCAUACAGAUCAGACGAGAACUGACGAGAAAUCAGAAAUGGUCACUUAUAUAGGG
rnacentral:lncRNA from 1 species